UCGCGAAAACUUCACAAUGGGGGCAACCCCGAUGAGGGAAUUCCUAGUGCUAGCACAUUUGUGUUAGCUUUUCUUUAGCUUAGAAAACUAGAGGAAUAAGGGCUGGGUAAGACGGGUGCCAGCCGCCGCGGUAAUACCUGCAGCCCAAGUGGUGGUCGAUUUUAUUGAGUCUAAAACGUUCGUAGCCGGUUCGGUAAAUCUUUGGGUAAAUCGGGGGGCUUAACCUUCCGACUUCCGAGGAGACUGCCGAACUUGGGACCGGGAGAGGCUAGAGGUACUUCUGGGGUAGGGGUAAAAUCCUGUAAUCCUAGAAGGACCACCGGUGGCGAAGGCGUCUAGCUAGAACGGAUCCGACGGUGAGGGACGAAGCCCUGGGUCGCAAACGGGAUUAGAUACCCCGGUAGUCCAGGGUGUAAACGCUGCAGACUUGGUGUUGGAGGCCCUUUGGGGGCAUUCAGUGCCGGAGAAAAGUUGUUAAGUCUGCUACUUGGGGAGUACGUCCGCAAGGAUGAAACUUAAAGGAAUUGGCGGGGGAGCACCGCAACGGGAGGAGCGUGCGGUUUAAUUGGAUUCAACACCGUAAAACUCACCAGGGAAGACUGUUACAUGAAGGCCGGGCUAAAGACUCUGCCAGAUUUUCA
rnacentral:rRNA from 1 species